CAGAAACUCGGCGCCGGUAUAUCACGAUGCUCGCUUGGGUGCAACACGAGAGAUUGUGGGUGGUCAGAGGCGGUUGUUGUGUACGUGCACUCCAGGUACACACAUAAAUACCGUGCCUCUGAUAACCAGCGUGUCAUUAGCCUGUCAAGCUGACGACGAGACGACGCGCGGCAUCUGAUUUCAUCCGGCAUCAAUGAUCGAGAUCAAUUUGUGCACGAAUACGAGAGCAGCAAAGUAGAUCGAUAUGAAUCGGAAAUGGAUAUACGAGAUGGUGUAAUUUGUCGGCGAGGAGAUACAGUUGGUUUAGUGUUCCGUAAUGAAUCUCGUAUGUGAUAUAUAUCUGUAAGAUUAGUAUCUAGAAAUGUGCAUUUGUAGUUUGUUUCUUUUUAUGUAAAAUAAUAAUUAAAAUUGAAAUAAUCGAAAAAUUCUUGCAAUUAUUAUUUUGUUUCAUUUCUUCAUAUAUAUGUAUAUGGUGUAAUAGUAGAAGGAAACAAUAAAAAAAUUUUUAGAAAUUAAA